UUAUUUUCCUUAAUUAUAAUUAGUAUGGCAUUUUCAUUGAAAAAAAUGUUCGGAAAAGGUACAUCUAAAUCCGGUGAAAGUAGUCGCCAAAAUCCUAGCCCUCCCCCGGCUCCCCGACCUAGAAAAGAUAAACAUGUUCAAACUAGUAGCCAACCUUGAAAUACUAAUGAAAACUUAGGAAUACUUGAUAGUGAUCACCCGUGUUUUCAAUUUAGCGAUGNN
rnacentral:lncRNA from 1 species